rnacentral:lncRNA from 1 species
CAAUGUUGGUUUUGACAUGCAUUUCACAACGUUUUCGCCUAAUCAAUUCACAAGAAACACGAAACAGGCCGUAACACUAUUGUUGACAACUUGUUCUGAGGGUGCAGCACGAUCUUGUUCAAGCCUGUCGAUAUCAACGGAACAGGUGUUCGUUUUUACGUGUGUAUAGUAGGUUUUAGAGUACAAUAUUUUCGACAAGUGGUCGAUCAUCUGCGGUUGGAACGGGCUGAGAUAUAUUUUGAAAUCCAAACGUUUGCACUGGCAUUCCUGUAUACGCCUGCAACAUCGAGCCAGCGGCGUUCUGUGGUACCAUUGGAUGGUAACUCGGCUGCGGCUGGCUGGAAGACUGGGAGCUAAUGAUCACAGUUGAUGGUGGUGUUGGGAUAGUGGUGAUAAUCAUUGGUUC